UUCGCGCCGCGGCUAGGCUUCCGCCCCAAACACAACUCAGCGGCGUUGGCGCCUGAUGCUAACUGCAGUCACCUGGCUACGUCUUCGCGCCGCGGCUAGGUCUCCGCGGCGCGCCCCAAACACAACUCAGCGGCCUUGGCGCAUGAUGCUAACUGCAGUCACCUGGCUACGUCUAUGCGCCGCGGCUAGGCUUCCGCGGCGCGCCCCAAACACAACUCAGCGGCGUUGGCGCAUGAUGCUAACUGCAGUCACCUGGCUACGUCUAUGCGCCGCGGCUAGGCUUCCGCCCCAAACACAACUCAGCGGCGUUGGCGCAUGAUGCUAACUGCAAUCACCUGGCUACGUCUUCGCGCCGCGGCUAGGUCUCCGCGGCGCGCCCCAAACACAACUCAGCGGCGUUGGCGCAUGAUGCUAACUGCAAUCACCUGGCUACGUCUUCGCGCCGCGGCUAGGUCUCCGCGGCGCGCCCCAAACACAACUCAGCGGCGUUGGCGCAUGAUGCUAACUGCAAUCACCUGGCUACGUCUAUGCGCCGCGGCUAGGUCUCCGCGGCGCGCCCCAAACACAACUCAGCGGCGUUGGCGCAUGAUGCUAACUGCAAUCACCUGGCUACGUCUAUGCGCCGCGGCUAGGUCUCCGCGGCGCGCCCCAAACACAACUCAGCGGCGUUGGCGCAUGAUGCUAACUGCAAUCACCUGGCUACGUCUAUGCGCCGCGGCUAGGUCUCCGCGGCGCGCCCCAAACACAACUCAGCGGCGUUGGCGCAUGAUGCUAACUGCAAUCACCUGGCUACGUCUAUGCGCCGCGGCUAGGUCUCCGCGGCGCGCCCCAAACACAACUCAGCGGCGUUGGCGCAUGAUGCUAACUGCAAUCACCUGGCUACGUCUAUGCGCCGCGGCUAGGUCUCCGCGGCGCGCCCCAAACACAACUCAGCGGCGUUGGCGCAUGAUGCUAACUGCAAUCACCUGGCUACGUCUAUGCGCCGCGGCUAGGUCUCCGCGGCGCGCCCCAAACACAACUCAACGGCGUUGGCGCAUGAUGCUAACUGCAGUCACCUGGCUACGUCUAUGCGCCGCUCCUGGGCCUCCGUCCGUGCUCCGCGGCCAGCAGCGCCGACAGCUUCGCACCCUUUCCGGCGCG
rnacentral:lncRNA from 1 species